rnacentral:rRNA from 1 species
AACGAACGCUGGCGGCGUGCUUAACACAUGCAAGUCGAACGGAAAGGCCCUGCGUUUGUGGGGUGCUCGAGUGGCGAACGGGUGCGUAACACGUGAGUAACCUGCCCUUGACUUUGGGAUAACUUCAGGAAACUGGGGCUAAUACCGGAUCGGAGCUCCUGCUGCAUUGUGGGGGUUGGAAAGUUUCGGCGGUUGGGGAUGGACUCGCGGCUUAUCAGCUUGCUGGUGGGGUAGUGGCUUACCAAGGCUUUGACGGGUCGCCGGCCUGAGAGGGUGACCGGCCACAUUGGGACUGAGAUACGGCGCAGACUCCUACGUGAGGCAGCAGUGGGGAAUAUGGCACAAUGGGCGGGAGCCUGAUGCAGCAACGCCGCGGGCGGGAUGACGGCCUUCGGGGUGUAAACCGCUGUCGCCUGUGACGAAGCGUGAGUGACGGUAAUGGGUAAAGAAGCACCGGCUAACUACGUG